CCUACGGGAGGCAGCAGUGGGGAAUAUUGGGCAAUGGAGGCAAGUCUGACCCAGCAACGCCGCGUGAAUGAAGAAGGCUUUCGGGUUGUAAAGUUCUAUUAUGGGGGAAGAGCAGAAGACGGUACCCCUUGAAUAAGCCACGGCUAACUACGUGCCAGCAGCCGCGGGAAUACGUAGGUGGCAAGCGUUCUCCGGAUUUACUGGGUGUAAAGGGCGUGCAGCCGGGAAGACAAGUCAGAUGUGAAAUCCCGCGGCUCAACCGCGGAACUGCAUGUGAAACUGUUUGUCUUGAGUACCGGAGAGGUCAUCGGAAUUCCUUGUGUAGCGGUGAAAUGCGUAGAUAUAAGGAAGAACACCAGUGGCGAAGGCGGAUGACUGGACGGCAACUGACGGUGAGGCGCGAAAGCGUGGGGAGCAAACAGGAUUAGAUACCCUGGUAGUC
rnacentral:rRNA from 1 species